rnacentral:rRNA from 1 species
AUUGAUUUUAUGCUUGCAUAAAUGAUUUUUGGAUUCGGAGCGAGUGGCGAGCUGGUGAGUAACACGUGGGUAACCUGCCCCGAAGCGGGGGAUAACAUUUGGAAACAAAUGCUAAUACCGCAUAAUUAGUCAGAACCGCAUGGUUCCGACUUGAAAGAUGGCUCUGCUAUCACUUCGGGAUGGACCCGCGCCGUAUUAGUUAGUUGGUGAGAUAAAAGCCCACCAAGACGAUGAUACGUAGCCGACCUGAGAGGGUAAUCGGCCACAUUGGGACUGAGACACGGCCCAGACUCCUACGGGAGGCAGCAGUAGGGAAUCUUCCACAAUGGACGAAAGUCUGAUGGAGCAACGCCGCGUGAGUGAUGAAGGGUUUCGGCUCGUAAAACUCUGUUGUUAAAGAAGAACAAGCAUGAGAGUAACUGUUCAUGCUUUGACGGUAUUUAACCAGAAAGCCACGGCUAACUACGUGCCAGCAGCCGCGGUAAUACGUAGGUGGCAAGCGUUGUCCGGAUUUAUUGGGCGUAAAGCGAGCGCAGGCGGUUUUGUAAGUCUGCUGUGAAAGCCCUCAGCUCAACUGAGGAAGUGCAGUGGAAACUACAAAACUUGAGUACAGAAGAGGAAAGUGGAACUCCAUGUGUAGCGGUGAAAUGCGUAGAUAUAUGGAAGAACACCAGUGGCGAAGGCGGCUUUCUGGUCUGUUACUGACGCUGAGGCUCGAAAGCAUGGGUAGCGAACAGGAUUAGAUACCCUGGUAGUCCAUGCCGUAAACGAUGAAUACUAGGUGUUGGAGGGUUUCCGCCCUUCAGUGCCGCAGCUAACGCAUUAAGUAUUCCGCCUGGGGAGUACGACCGCAAGGUUGAAACUCAAAGGAAUUGACGGGGGCCCGCACAAGUGGUGGAGCAUGUGGUUUAAUUCGAUGCUACGCGAAGAACCUUACCAGCUCUUGACAUCUUCUGCCAACCUAAGAGAUUAGGCGUUCCCUUCGGGGACAGAAUGACAGGUGGUGCAUGGUUGUCGUCAGCUCGUGUCGUGAGAUGUUGGGUUAAGUCCCGCAACGAGCGCAACCCUUAUUAUUAGUUGCCAGCAUUUAGUUGGGCACUCUAGUGAGACUGCCGGUGAUAAA